UACGAAGGGGGCUAGCGUUGUUCGGAAUUACUGGGCGUAAAGCGCGUGUAGGCGGGUCUUUAAGUCAGGGGUGAAAUGCCAAGGCUCAACCUUGGAACUGCCUUUGAUACUGGAGAUCUUUAGUCCGGGAGAGGUGAGUGGAACUGCGAGUGUAGAGGUGAAAUUCGUAGAUAUUCGCAAGAACACCAGUGGCGAAGGCGGCUCACUGGCCGGGAACUGACGCUGAGACGCGAAGGCGUGGGAGCAAACAGG
rnacentral:rRNA from 1 species